AGUUUCAGUCGGUUUAGGUUUAGUCGGUUUAGUUUCAGUCAGUUUAGUUUUAGUGGGUUUAGUUUUAGUCGGUUUAGUUUCAGUCGGUUUAGUUUUGGUCGGUUUAGUUUUGGUCGUUUUAGUCGGUUUAGUUUUAGUCGGUUUAGUUUUAGUGAGUUUAGUUUUAGUCGGUUUAGUUUUAGUAGGUUUAGUUUUAGUCGGUUUAGUUUUAGUCGGUUUAGUUUUAGUCGGUUUAGUUUUAGUCGGU